rnacentral:lncRNA from 1 species
ACUCACCUCGAGGGUCUGCGGCUUCAUUCUUGAAGUCAGUGAGACCAAGAACCCACCAAUUCCGGACACAAUGUUACUCCAGAUAAUCAGCGCCAUUUUCUGAAGCUUGAGAUGCAGGAAAAGAGGAGUGCUAUCCAUUAGAUGGAGACAGGAAGUAGAAAAAGAGCUUAAAGUUUUGGCUUGUGUUACUUCCUUGGGGAGAUCUUGCUGGACCACAUCAGGAAUAGGAGGGGUGUGUCCCCACAGCACUGUGUACACGGAAAUGCAGAUGAUAACUCCUGCCUCCAGACCCCUCUCUGAGAUGAUUCUGAGACACAUAUAAAUGGGCUUUGCAAACUGUGGGCAGUAGAUGUGAGAACUCUUCAUCUUCCAGACAGGAUCCAAGGUCCUUUGGAAGGGACAGUGAGCGGACUGCAUCCUGCUUGCAUGAAGACCCUGAUUCCCUCAAAUGUUGAAAGAGGUUGAAUUUACAAAUAAAU